AGAGUUUGAUCAUGGCUCAGGACGAACGCUGGCGGCGUGCUUAACACAUGCAUGUCGAACGAAAAGAGGGAAAGAGCUUGCUCUUUCCGGAAUUGAGAGGCAAACGGGUGAGUAACACGUAAACAACCUGCCUUCAGGAUGGGGACAACAGACGGAAACGACUGCUAAUACCGAAUACGUUCUAAGCAUCGCAUGAUGCAUAGAAGAAAGGGUGGCCUCUACAAGAAAGCUAUCGCCUUAAGAGGGGUUUGCGACUGAUUAGGUAGUUGGUGAGGUAACGGCUCACCAAGCCGACGAUCAGUAGCCGGUCUGAGAGGAUGAACGGCCACACUGGAACUGAGACACGGUCCAGACUCCUACGGGAGGCAGCAGUGGGGAAUCUUCCGCAAUGGACGAAAGUCUGACGGAGCAACGCCGCGUGAACGAAGAAGGUCUUCGGAUUGUAAAGUUCUGUGAUUCGGGACGAAAGGGUUUGUGGUGAAUAAUCAUAGACAUUGACGGUACCGAAAAAGCAAGCCACGGCUAACUACGUGCCAGCAGCCGCGGU
rnacentral:rRNA from 1 species